rnacentral:tRNA from 1 species
GGGCCGGGUGGUGCACCAGGGCAGCAUCCGGGACCUGCUGCGCACCGCCGACCGCCGCUCGGUCCUGUUCGACCACCGGGGCGGGCCCG